rnacentral:rRNA from 1 species
GAUGAACGCUGGCGGCGUGCUAACACAUGCAAGUCGAACGGUGAAGCAGGAGCUUGCUCUUGUGGAUCAGUGGCGAACGGGUGAGUAACACGUGAGCAACCUGCCCCUGACUCUGGGAUAAGCGCUGGAAACGGCGUCUAAUACUGGAUAUGUGAUGUGACCGCAUGGUCUGCAUCUGGAAAGAAUUUCGGUUGGGGAUGGGCUCGCGGCCUAUCAGCUUGUUGGUGAGGUAAUGGCUCACCAAGGCGUCGACGGGUAGCCGGCCUGAGAGGGGGACCGGGCACACUGGGACUGAGACACGGCGCAGACGCCUACGGGAGGCAGCAGUGGGGAAUAUUGCACAAUGAGCGGAAGCCUGGUGCAGCGACGCCGCGUGAGGGAUGACGGCCUUCGGGUUGUAAACCUCUUUUAGCAGGGAAGGAGCGAAAGUGACGGUACCUGCAGAAAAAGCACCGGCUAACUACGUGCCAGCCGCCGCCGUAA